rnacentral:rRNA from 1 species
UACGAAGGGGGCAAGCGUUGUUCGGAAUUACUGGGCGUAAAGGGCGCGUAGGCGGCUUAUCAAGUCAGGCGUGAAAUUCCCGGGCUCAACCUGGGGGCUGCGCUUGAUACUGAUUGGCUUGAAUGCGGGAGAGGAUAGUGGAAUUCCCAGUGUAGAGGUGAAGUUCGUAGAUAUUGGGAAGAACACCGGUGGCGAAGGCGGCUAUCUGGCCCGUAAUUGACGCUGAGGCGCGAAAGCGUGGGGAGCAAACAGG